rnacentral:rRNA from 1 species
UACGUAGGGCGCAAGCGUUGUCCGGAAUUAUUGGGCGUAAAGAGCUCGUAGGCGGCCUGUUGCGUCCGCUGUGAAAUCCCGGGGCUCAACCCCGGGCCUGCAGUGGAUACGGGCUGGCUAGAGGCAGGCAGGGGAGAACGGAAUUCCUGGUGUAGCGGUGAAAUGCGCAGAUAUCAGGAGGAACACCGGCGGCGAAGGCGGGUCUCUGGGCCAUAACUGACGCUGAUGCACGAAAGCGUGGGUAGCAAACAGG